AGAACACUUUUGCUCAGCCCAGGCUUAAUUCUCAGCAUAGGAGUUAUCUCAAUAGGGGCGGACUCCUGAAAGGAACAUUCACCUGUCAUUCAGGUUCUUGGCCAUGCUGUGAGAAAGAAUUCAAGGGCACAGCACAGAUCGAGUAAUCAGGCAGAAAAUUUAUUAAGUACACAUGCAGAGAAAGAGCAUGCAGGCACUCUCGCAAGAGGAAAAAGGACAUUCUUCCCCACAUUCUGCCUGGCUGGCCUCUUCUCAUCCUUUCCAUUUCUACUACAGAGAACCACAAGAAUCCAAGCUCUAUGUACCAUCUGUUUACUGCUGCGUCCAUGGUUCCUUGGCCAGGAACCAUUCCAGGGUAGGUACUUAGUAAAUAAGUGAAGGAAUGAAAAAAAUGACCGUCUGGACCCUGUCAGUUUUGUAGGCUAUGAGAAAAAGUUUGGGUUCUACUACUUUUUUAAAAAAAAUUAUUUUAAUAUUUUAAUUUAUUUUUUGUUUUUACAAAGUAAUACUUCCUUUUCCCUUUCCAUACCCUUUCUCCAGUAACCCUUAAUCUGCUU